AGUUUGAUCCUGGCUCAGAUUGAACGCUGGCGGCAGGCUUAACACAUGCAAGUCGAGCGGAGUGAUGGUGCUUGCACUAUCACUUAGCGGCGGACGGGUGAGUAAUGCUUAGGAAUCUGCCUAUUAGUGGGGGACAACAUCUCGAAAGGGAUGCUAAUACCGCAUACGUCCUACGGGAGAAAGCAGGGGAUCACUUGUGACCUUGCGCUAAUAGAUGAGCCUAAGUCGGAUUAGCUAGUUGGUGGGGUAAAGGCCUACCAAGGCGACGAUCUGUAGCGGGUCUGAGAGGAUGAUCCGCCACACUGGGACUGAGACACGGCCCAGACUCCUACGGGAGGCAGCAGUGGGGAAUAUUGGACAAUGGGGGGAACCCUGAUCCAGCCAUGCCGCGUGUGUGAAGAAGGCCUUAUGGUUGUAAAGCACUUUAAGCGAGGAGGAGGCUCUUUUGGUUAAUACCCAAGAUGAGUGGACGUUACUCGCAGAAUAAGCACCGGCUAACUCUGUGCCAGCAGCCGCGGUAAUACAGAGGGUGCAAGCGUUAAUCGGAUUUACUGGGCGUGAAGCGCGCGUAGGCGGCCAAUUAAGUCAAAUGUGAAAUCCCCGAGCUUAACUUGGGAAUUGCAUUCGAUACUGGUUGGCUAGAGUGUGGGAGAGGAUGGUAGAAUUCCAGGUGUAGCGGUGAAAUGCGUAGAGAUCUGGAGGAAUACCGAUGGCGAAGGCAGCCAUCUGGCCUAACACUGACGCUGAGGUGCGAAAGCAUGGGGAGCAAACAGGAUUAGAUACCCUGGUAGUCCAAUCCCGC
rnacentral:rRNA from 1 species